rnacentral:rRNA from 1 species
GAUGAACGCUGGCGGCGUGCUUAACACAUGCAAGUCGAACGGACUUUACUUAGCUUGCUUUGUAAAGUUAGUGGCGGACGGGUGAGUAACGCGUGGGUAACCUGCCUCACACAGGGGGAUAGCAGUUGGAAACGACUGAUAAUACCGCAUAAGCGCACAGUAUGCAUGGUACAGUGUGAAAAACUCCGGUGGUGUGAGAUGGACCCGCGUCUGAUUAGCUUGUUGGUGAGGUAACGGCCCACCAAGGCGACGAUCAGUAGCCGGCCUGAGAGGGUGAACGGCCACAUUGGGACUGAGACACGGCCCAAACUCC